ACAGUCCGCCAGGGGCCGCGGCCCGGGCCCCGCUGGGGUUCCCGCACAGCCCGCGGCUCCGCCCCGAGAGGAUGCGCCCCCGCGCCCGCAUCCUUCCCGCACCCGCCCGCCUGGCCCCUGCCCUCUCCCGGGCCCCUGAGAGCGGCGCCCCUCCCGGCUCGCGGCCGCCCGGCCCGCUUGACAUACCAGAAAUAGCUGCACACAAUUGUACCUUUCCCGGCCAAGAAACCUCCCCCGCUGGGGAGCGCGGCCCGCCGCCCUCACCUGAGCCCCGGCCAGCUGAGCCCGCUACCCGCUCUCCCGCCGCGAUCCGGCCCAGCCGCCAGGUGAGCGCCGUCCCCUCCCACGCUCCCCGCCCCCUGCGGCGGCCGGGCCCUCCCGGCGGCAGAGGAGGGUCGUGGCCUUGGCACGUGCUGCCGCUUCCCCCCGGCGGAGUUCGGCCCCGCUCCGCCCGGCUUCCAGCUAAAGAAGUCACUUUCAAGAGAUCUGGAGAAGUAAGAUGGCCAAAUAAAAGCCUCUACCAAUCAUCCUCCCCACAGGAACACCAAAUUUAAGAACUAUCUACACAAAAAAGCACCUUCAUAAGAACCAAAAAUCAGAGAGAACAAGGAUAAAGAAGUAUCCAAAUACAAAGAAAAUGUUAUGCAAGUGACCUUUAGAGAUGUUUUAAAGAUGACAAAAUAUUGAUGAAGAUGGGCCAACAAGUGUUACUGUUACCUCUAAUAAAGUUUCAUCACUAGUUUCACCAUGGUUAAUUGGAAAUGGCUUCCGCCCAUCUGUGGAAAACAGACAAACAAUUGAAUGCUUAGCUGUUUUUACAGGAUAAUGUGCUUUCAACUUCCAUUUUCCUCUUCCCCCAGUGAGGCAAGAAAAGUUAAAAGCCAUUUUCAAUAAUAUAUCCUAAAACAAAUGUUUUAAUGUGCUACCAUGAAUAUUUUUUAUUAAAGGUUAUUAGUUAGAACUUUGCUUCCAUAUUUGAAAGCCUAAAUUAUCUUCAUGAACGGAAUUUAUUACAAUGCUGGCUUUCGUUUCCUGAAAAUAAUACGCAAAAUUAUUGUCAGUUUUUUAAAAAUUAUCACCCCAGCUUUUAUCCUUGGAAAUUAAAAAAAUUUCUUUUUUCACUUUAAAUAGGAAGAUCUCAAGUAAGACAGACAUGUUUAAAACAAUGAAAGGGAGCUACACUGUCAUGGCUUAUACAAUACUACUAUUAACUGUGUACUAUCAAUGCAGUAAUAUAGAGGAAUAAUCCAAAUAACCCAGGGUUAUUUUACUGACCACCAAAAUAAGCAAAUUCACAAUCAACUUAAAUAAACUAGUACUUUUUCAAUAUUAUUUUUUAAGAAGUCCAGAAUUAUUUAAACUCAUGCUAACCCAAAGUCAACUGACAAUUAUAUAUCCAAAUCCAUAAUCUCAGAUGUCUUGUAAGUGGCUCUUCAUUAAGUUCAAUCCAUAAAACACAGCCCCUUCUACGAUUCCAUGGUUUCUAACCAUAAUAAAAAUUUCUGAAUAUGCAUCUAGUAAUAGACUUGGUUGUUAGAUUUUUUUUAAAAAAAUGAAUGAAAAUCAACACAUAAAUUCAUCUCCAUAAAAAGUAAUAUUAAUUUCUAUAAAUUAUAUCAUCAGAAUUUGUGAUUCCUAUUUUUGGACUAACAUUGAGAUAAAUAUUCAAAAUCCUAAAGAAACUUAUCCCUAAAUUACAAUGCCUGGGACAUAAUUCCUAAAGUUUCUAAGAACCUUUAGGAAAUAUUUUCCUGUAACUAUAUUACACAUGAACACUUAAUUAUCCAUAUUUCUAUGAACUUAUACUAUCUUUCUAAAUUAUAAUGUAUAUUUCUCAAUAAUAUAUCAUAAAAUGUCUUCUUAAAAUAUCCUUUUGUGGUAAAUGCUUAUUCUUCAAUAGACUAUUCUAUGUUUAUAUGACUAUCACAUUCAUUAUGUGCCACCCCAUUUUGUAUUAUUUUUUAAUGUUUACAUAAAGGCAAAAGUAUAAGUAAACAAUGUAGGCUGUUCCCUCCCUAACCAAAUUAUAAAUUAAUAUAUAUUUUUUCCUUUUGUAUUUUUCUUUCUUCUAUUUAAUUUAGAGACAGGGCCUCACUUAUAUUCCCCAGGCUGAACUUAACCUCCUGCGUUCAAGCAAUCCUCCUGCCUCAGCUUCCCAAGUAGCUGGGACUGCAGGCACAUGCAACAGCACCUGGCUUAAUAUAUGUAUUUUCCUGGUUUCCAUCAUUUCUGUGUGUGUGUCAUUCAUGAGACUAAAGAGCUAAUAAACUCAGUUAUGGCUGGGUGUGGUGGCUCACACCUGUAAUUUAAGAAGAUUGCUUGAGGCCAGGAGUUCAACACCAGCCUGGGCAAUACAGUGAGACCCCACCUUUACAAAGAAUUAAUAAAUUAGCCAGGUAUAGUGGCACAAGUCUGUAGUCCCAGCUGUUUGGGAGGCUGAGGCAGGAGGAUCACUUGAGCCCAGGAGUUCAAGGACGCAGCAAGCUAUGAUCAUGCCACUGCACUCCAGCCUGGGUGACAAAGUGAGAUUCUGUCUCUAAAAAAAUAAAAUAAUAACAUAAUAAAAUAAAAACAAAAAAUGGCAGUGAGCAAUUUUCCUUUGAAUGCAGCUGUUUAAAGUAACAUAUAAUUAAUUUCAAUUAUUAUAGACUAAGAUUGUUAAACAACUGAUCCUGAAAUGUCAAAACCGUACAGUCUAUUUUUAUAAUAGCAGUAUAGAACAAAGAUUAAUUAUGAUUUUUACUGUUAUUCUAAUCCAUGGGCCAAAUCCAGCCCUCAGUGUAUUUUUAAUGCCUCCUUUAAGCUAAGACUGGUUUUUAUGUUUUUAAAAGACAGUAUGUAGCCCACAAAACCUAAAAUAUUUACUACUUGGUCCUUCACAGAAAAAUUUUGCCAAAACAAUAAAAUGUAAAAUUUGCUGUUGUUCCAAACACUACUACCACAAAACUGUCACUUGCCAACAACUUUGCGUGUAAUUUCAGUAAAUGCAUACGCUGCAGAUGAAUCCAUGAGGCUCAGAGACUGUCACACUUACAGGCCCCUUCUAAAAGAGGCAGGAAAAAGCUGCACCUUGUACAUGGGUCAUGUAACCUAAAAACCCCAGUCCAAACGGGCUGUGCCACUUCCAGGCUGGACGGGGAAGAAAAUAGUGGCCUGACUUUUUGGUAGUAACUAACCAAUUCAUUCAGAACUUGUUUUUUGCAUAGUGUGAUCACAAGCCCCCAGAGAAAGGUGACAACAGAGUUGUACAAGAGACAAGCGACAUGACAAACAUCACGAGAUGCUUUUUGGUGCAGAUAACUGAGUAUCAGCUACUGUCAAAUACCCAACAAUGGCCAACGACGUGAAUGAUGGAGCUUAAAAAACAGAGACUAUACAGAAAUAAAAACUGUUUUACUGGUUUUGUUUUUGUUUUGUUUUUGUUUUUGUUUUUUUUGAGACAGAGUCUCGCUCUGUCGCCCAGGCUAGAGUACAGUGGCACAAUCUCAGCUCACUGCAAGCUCUGCCUCCCGGGUUCACGCCAUUCUCCUGCCUCAGCCUCCCGAGCAGCUGGGACUACAGGCACCCACCACCACACCCAGCUAAUUUUUUGUAUUUUUAGUAGAGAUGGGGUUUCACCAUGUUAGCCAGGAUGGUCUCGAUCUCCUGACCUUGUGAUCCACCCACCUCGGCCUCCCAAAGUGCUGGGAUUACAGGCGUGAGCUACCACACCCAGCCACAGAAAUAAAAACUUUUUAAAAAUGUACAGGCUUAAAAAAGAGAGACUAUACAGAAAUUAAAACUUCUAAAAAAUGUACAGGCAUGCCUGAGAGAUACUGUGGGUUAGCUUCCAGAAUACCACAAUGAAGCAAGUAUCACAAUAAAAUGAGUCACAAAUUUUUUUGUUUCCUAGUGCAUAUAAAAGUUAUGUUUAUAUUACUCUGUAGUCUAUUAGGUAUACAUUAGCAUUAUGUCUAAGAAAACAAUAUACAUACCUUAAUUAAAAAACACUUUAUUCCUAAAAAUGCUAAUGAUCAUCUCAGCCUUCAGCAAGUUGCCAUCUUUUUGCUGAUGGAGGGGCUUGCUUUGAUGUUGAUAUCUCCUGACUGAUCAGGACGGCGGUUGCUGAAGAUUGGGGUGGCUGUGGAAAUUUCCUAAAAUAAGACAAUAAUGAAGUUUGCCACAUUUGACUCUUUCUUUUAUGAAAGAUUUCUCUGUAGCAUGUGAUGCUGUUUGACAGCACUUUACCCACAGGAGAACUUCUUCCAAAAAUGUUGUCAAUCCUCUCAAAUUCUGCUGCUGCUUUAUCAACUACAUUUAUGUAAUCUUCUAAAUCCUUUAUGGUUUGUGGUCAUUUUAACACUGUUCAUGACCUCUUUAUUAGGAGUAGAUUCCAUCUCAAGAAAUCAGUUUAUUUGCUCAUCUUUAAGAAGCAACUCCUUACUUGUUCAAGUUUUAUCAUGAGAUUGCAGCAGUUCAGUCACAUCUUCAGGCUCCCCUUCUAAUUCUAGUUUUCUUGCUAUUUUCAUGAUAUCUGCAGUUACUUCCUCCAAUGAAGUCUUAAACCCCUCAAAGUCAUCCAUGAGGAUUGGAACCAACUUAUUCCAAACUCAUGUUAAUGUUGAUACUUUGAGCUCUUCCCAUAAAUCAUGAAUGUUCUUAAGGGCAUCUAAAAUGGUGAAUCCUUUCCAGGAAGUUUCCAAUUUACUAUUCUCAGAUCCAUCAAAGCAAUCACUGUGGCAGCUAUAGUCUCACAAACUGUAUUUCUUAAAUAACAAGAAAUGAAAGUCUAAAUGAUUCCUUGAUCCAUGGGCUGCAGAAUGGAUGCUGUGUUAGCAGAAAUGAAAAUAUUAAUCUCUUUGUAAAUAUAUCUAUAUCGGACUUCUUGGAUUACAAGGUGCAUUGUCAAUUAGCAGUAAUAUUUUCAAAGGAAUCUUUUUCUGAGCAGUACGUCUCAACAGAGGGCUUAAGAGAUUCAGUAAUCCAGGCUAUAAAUAGAUAUACUAUCAUCCCGGCUCUGUUGUUCCAUUUAUAGAACAUAGGCAGAGAAGAUUUAGCAUCAUUCUUAAGGACCCUAAAAUUUUCUGAAUAUCAAAUGAUCAUUGGCUUCAACUGAAAGUCACCGUCUGCAUUAACAAGACAAUCAGCCUGUCCUUUGAAGCUUUGAAGGCAGGUGUUGACAUCUCCUCUCUAGCUACAGAAGUCCUAGAUGGCAUCUUCUUCCCAAGAGAAGGCUAGUCAUCUACAUGGAAAAUCUGUUGUUUACGUAGCCACCUUCACGGAAGAUCUGAGCUUGAUCUUCUGGAUAACUUGCAGCUUCUCCAUCAGCAUAUGCUGCUUCACCAUGCACUUUUAUGUUAUGGAGAUGACUUCUUUCCUUAAACCUCAUGAACCAACUGCUAGCUUCAGACCUUUCUUCUGUAGCUUCCUCACCUCUCUCAGCCUUAACAGAACUGAAAAGAGGUAUGGCCUUGCUCCAGAUUAGGCUUAAGAAAAUGUUGUAGCUAGUUUGAUCUUCUAUCCAGACCACUCAAACUUUCUCCAUAUCAGCAAUAAUACUGUUUUGCUUUCUCGUCAUUCAUGUGUUCACUGGAGCAGCACUUUUAAUUUCCUUCAAGAACUUUUCCUUUGCAUUCACAACUUGGCUUAUUGUUUUGCACAAGAGGCCUAGCUAUCAGACCAUCCUGGCUUUCAAUAUGCCUUCCUCACUAAGCUUAAUCAUUUCUAGUUUUUGACUUAAAGUGAGAGACGUGUGACUUGAAUGCUUACAGGCCUUUGUAGGGUUAUUAUCUGGCCUCAUUUCAAUAUUAUUGUGUCUCAGGGAAUAGAGAAGUUCAAAGAGAGGAAAAGAGAUGGGGAAAUGGCUGGUUAAUGGAGCAGUCAGAACACAUACAUGAAAUCAAUUAAGUUUGCCAGCAUAUAUGGGUAUAGUUUGUGGCAUCCCAAAACAAUUACGGUAGUAAUAUCAAAGAUCACUGAUCACAGAUACCAUAACAGAUAUAAUAAUAAAACGUUUGAAAUGUUGGGAGAAUUACCAAAGCGUGACACAGAAACACAAAGUGAGCACAUGCUGUUGGAAAAAAUGGUGCCAAUAAGCUUGCUCAAAGCAAGAUUGCCAUAAACCUUCAAUUUGUAAAAAAUGAAAUAUAUGUAAAGUACAGUCAAAUGAGGUAUUCCUGUAUUAUUACUAUCCUUAAAAUGAGGAAAUUCUACAUACAUAAAAGAACAGAAUGCCAUAUUUUCAAAUGCUAUGCAAACUCAGAGAACAGAAGAACUCUUAAAAAUUAAAACUAUGGCCUGUGUGCAGUGCCUCAUGCCUGUAAUCCCAGCACUUUGGAAGGCUAAAGCAGGAGGAUCAAUUGAGCCCAGGAGUUCAAGACCAGCCUGGGCAACAUAGCUAGACCCCAAUUUACAAAAAAAAAAAAAAAAAAUAGCCAGGCAUGGUGGCACAGGCCUACAGUCCCAGCUACUCAGGAGGCUGUGACAAGGGGAUUGCUGGAGCCCAGGACAUCAAGGCUGCAGUUUGAAGGGGUUCCUUUCAAAGGCCAAGUCUGCAGUAAUUUGAGCAUAAAAAUACAUGAUAUCAUGGAUUAUAAUCAUUCAAGUAAAGUAGGAAUCCAUGAGUCCAUUCUGAUUAUAAAUGAAUAAAUGAGAGGAAAAGGAAAGCUUCUAAUGUUGGGGGAAUUUUUUUUUAAUUGCCAUUUGGCAAUAGUCAUAAUGAUAAUCCAGUCAAGAAUAAUCAAUGGAUGCAAAAUCUGGAGGAUAAAAGCUUGAUGAGCAACUGCAUGACAUACUUCUUAACUUUAUUGUGAAGAAACUACCUAAAAGUCACUAAACAUCACCAGUAAUGGGGCAAAUUGACAUCAUGUGCCUCUCGAUAUGAUGCACUGAGAAGAACGCAGCAUUAUUUCUGCAGUUAUUCCUGCCAAAAAUGCAUAAAUCAUGAGGAUAAAUCAGAUGGCCUAAAUUGGAGGAUAAUCUCAAAGUAACUGGCCCUAUACUCUUAAAAUAAAUGUUACAGUCAUGAAAGACAAGAAAGCAUUCUGAGGUACUGUUCCAGAUUAAAGAAGACAAAGAAACAUGACAAAUUCAACACAUAAUCCUGGAUUGGCUCCUGAAUAGAGGACAUUAUUGUGAUAAUCAGGAAAACUGUAAUGGGGUCUGUGGAUCAGAUAAUACUGGAUCAAUGUUAUAAUAAUUUCCUGAUUUUGAUAUUCAUACUAUAGUUAUGUAGGAGAGUAUCCACUUGUUUUGAGAAAAUACACACCGAAGUUUUAAAGAUAAUGGGGCAUCAUGUCUUCAACUUAUUUUCAAAUGGCUCAGAAAUAUGAAUUGAAUCUGGGUAAUCUGUGGGAGGAUGUAUGGGAGCUCUGUAUACUAUUUCUGUAACUUCUACAAACAUCUUAAGUUACUUCAAAAUAAAAUUUCUAAAACUGCUUCAAAGUAUUCCUGUUACUUCAGGUAGACAAUAAUUUAUUAGUUAAUGGUUUUUUAAUCUGAUUGUUCAAUCAGUUCCAAAUCCACCUCUAAAUCCCAAUGCUCUACUCUAUAUCCACAAGGAGUCAUUUUAUCUAUUUUAAAAUAUGUACUUCUUCCCCUUUACAUAUGCCAGAAACUAUAUGAGGCCCCAAGGAAAAGGGAGGGUGAUAACAAAAGAGAAAUAACUCAGUCCUUUUCAUUGGUUAACCUUACAAUUUAUUAGAGUAGGGAAUUAAUACAUUAAAGACUACCACCAUUCUCUGUUAAAUAUAGAUAUCCUAUAGAAAUUAACUUGCACAAUGUCUACAAUCAUACAGCCUUAUUUUUAAAAAUAAAGUUACAGUCAUCUCUCCAUAUCUGUGGGGGACUGGUUCCAGGACACCGGCCCCAUCUCAUACCAAAAUUUUGAGAUGUUCAAGCCCCUUGACAUACUCUACCUAAAUGGUAUAGUAUUUGCAUAUAACCUACACAAUUCCAAAUACUUUAAAUCAUCUCUAGAUUACUUAUCAUACAUAAUACAAUAUAAAUGCUAUGUAAAUAGUUGUUAUGUUGUUUUCAAAAUUUGUUUUUUAUUGUUGUAUUGGUAUUUAUUUUCUAAUACUUUCAAUCCACAGUUGGUUGAAUCUACCAAUGCAAGAACCCACAGAGAGCAAAUUGAACUUUGAAAUGACUUCUUUCUUAAAAGUUAUAUAGUGUCUUCUUUUCUUUUUUUUUUAAGAGAUGACGUCUUGCCAUGUCACCCAGGCAGAAGUGUAGUGGCUGUUCACAGGUGCAAUCAUAGCACACUGUAGCCUCAAACUCCUGGGCUCAGGCAAUCGUGCUUCAGCUUCCCACUACAGAAAGUGGGACUACAGGAACACACCACUGUGCCCAGUGCUAAUCUCUUAAUCAUUAUUUUCUACUCACUAACUCAAUACUCUUCUUGCUCAAUAUUCCUUUUGAAUUUAUUAGAUCUGCAUCAGAGUUACUGCCAGUUUCCUUUGCAAUGAAUCAGCAACUGUCCAUCUUUGUAAUGUACCUAUUAUUGCUCUGACAUCUCAAAGAUUAUGGCUAUUCUUUACCACUCUGAAAUUAUUUAAACUCAUUUAAAAAAUCUAAUUUCCAGUAGGCUUCUAAUUUUCCAUCAGAUCAUUCUUCUUGAUAAAGAAUAUCUAAACCAAACAAGACCUCAGUAGUUCUGCCUUUGUUUUAUGAAGUUCUUACUUCAAACCAAUUUUAAAAUCCUUUUGUGUUGAUCUUGGCAUGCUCCAAAAGAGCAUCAUUCUUCAUAUGUAGCUUACCCUUGAUAUAUGUCCUUCCUUCUAACUGCCCUUUUAGCCUCUGAGCCAAGACAGCUCUCUAACUAGUAAAACCGAGUUUUUUUUUAAGAUAACUCUUUCCUUCCCAUUGAGAUCAUUAGAGAGGUUUUCUUUUGGUUUAAAUAUAUUUUAGAUGUUAUUGUUUGCUCUGUAAGUCUCUCAUUCUGAAAGUCACAAUCAGAUUUAUAGUCUCUGGUUAUGAAUCCUACAUAUGUUUGCUCUGGCCAAAUCUACUUUCUUGAAGUUAACAGAAUGUGUCUGUUAAGUCCCAGCACUCUUUAUUUCCUCUUCCACUAGUUAUUAUUUACUAUUCACAAUUCAGAGUAGAAAAUCUGCUUCCAGCAACCACCCAGACAUCUGAAGUCCCCAAUCACUGUUAUACUUUAUCUCUGCAGAUUUUGUAGACUCAAUUAGCAAGGCACAUCUUCAAAACUGUCCUGGAGGUCCAUUAUAUACUACCAAAAUAAUGACUUCUUCUCAUUUAAGUUUUAUUACUCCUCAAAUCACUCUAGUAUUGUAGACAACGCUCAGGGUUGCACAUUUUUAUAAAUACUAUGUUCUUUCUUUUCCUUGUCCCCUUUGAUAGGGCCAUUUCUUUUUAAUAAAGUAUGCGAUCUGUUGCUAAUAUUCCAAACACAAAAUCCACCUAAAUUUUAUGGAUCACAUUUACAGUCACAAUCUGUGUUCUUUCAAAAUCUUCUAUCUUUAUACAACUUAAAAUUAAUGUGACAAGGUAAUAUAUAGACAGCAAAUGAGAGGUAA
rnacentral:lncRNA from 1 species